AUGAGCGCGAGCAGCGUGCGAGCGUCAGUUUGCUGGUUCGACCCCUGCCUAGCGCCCUUCCAUUUUAUUUUUGCUAAGGCGCCCCCACUAAUCAUAGAGACGUAUAAAAAAACAACCGGCGCCGUCGUCAGGACCUCCGGCGAGGACCGUCUCGCGCUCGACACGGCUGGACGCCGGUGGUUCUUCUGCGGCGUCAGCCCGCACUACAAGAGCGGCAUGAAGCUCAAGAUCAUCGUCCUCGACACCGCUGCGCCGACUCGCCGGCCUGCCCCGACCAACCCUGCUGGCAAGCUGCAGGCGCACUUUGGUGAGAGGGCCGCCGCGGUCACCGCGCUCGCUGCGGCCUUGCUCAUGCUCUAG
rnacentral:rRNA from 1 species